rnacentral:rRNA from 1 species
CCCUUAGAUGUCCUGGGCCGCACGCGCGUUACACUGAUGCAUUCAACGAGCUUAUAACCUUGGCCGAGAGGCCUGGGCAAUCUUGUUAACGUGCAUCGUGAUAGGGAUAGAUUAUUGAAAUUAUUAAUCUUGAACGAGGAAUUCCUAGUAAACGCAGAUCAUCAAUCUGCGUUGAUUACGUCCCUGCCCUUUGUACACACCGCCCGUCGCUACUACCGAUUGAACGGUUUAGUGAGGGCCUCGGAUUGGUCUCGGCCCGCUCUUUACCGGGCGGCGCCGUUGGUCGAGAAGACGCUCGAACUUGAUCGUUUAGAGGAAGUAAAAGUCGUAACA